AACAAGGAUUCCCUUAGUAACUGCGAGUGAAGUGGGAAAAGCUCAAAUUUGAAAUCUGGCAGUCUGAUUUUUUCAUGUUGGCUGUCCGAGUUGUAAUCUAGAGAAGUGUUACCCGCAUUGGACCAUGUAUAAGUCUCCUGGGAUGGAGCAUCAUAGAGGGUGAGAAUCCCGUCUUUGACAUGGACCGCCAGUGUGUUGUGGUGUACUUUCAAAGAGUCGAGUUGUUUGGGAAUGCAGCUCUAAAUGGGUGGUAAACUCCAUCUAAAGCUAAAUAUUGGCGAGAGACCGAUAGUGAACAAGUACCGUGAGGGAAAGAUGAAAAGUACUUUGGAAAGAGAGUUAAACAGUAUGUGAAAUUGUUGAAAGGGAAACACUUGAUGUCAGUUUAGUUAGCUAGGAUUCAACCGAGCUUUUUUUGCUAGGUGAAAUUCCUUGUCUGACAGGCCAACAUGAGUUUUGACUGUUAGAGAAAGGCAGAGGGAAUGUGGCACCUUUUGGUGUGUUAUAGCCCUGUGUCAGAUGUGGCAGUUGGGACUGAGGUAUGCAGCGUGCCGUAAGGCAGGGUUUCGACCACGUUCGCGCUUAGGAUGUUGGCGUAAUGGCAUUAAUUGACCCGUCUUGAAACACGGACCAAGGAGUCUAACAUGCAUGCGAGUAUUUGGGUGGAAUAAACCCUUGUGCGUAAUGAAAGUGAAGAUUGAGAACCCUGUCAUGGGGAGCAUUGAUGCCCGGACUUGAGCUUUUAGCGAAGGACCUGCGGUAAAGCAUGUAUGUUGGGACCCGAAAGAUGGUGAACUAUGCCUGAAUAGGGCAAAGCCAGAGGAAACUCUGGUGGAGGMUCGUAGCGAUUCUGACGUGCAAAUCGAUCGUCGAAUUUGGGUA
rnacentral:rRNA from 1 species